UCGGGAAUUUUGGGCAAUGGGGGAAACCCUGACCCAGCAACGCCGCGUGAAGGAUGAAGUAUUUCGGUAUGUAAACUUCGAAAGAAUAGGAAGAAUAAAUGACGGUACUAUUUAUAAGGUCCGGCUAACUACGUGCCAGCAGCCGCGGUAAUACGUAGGGACCAAGCGUUGUUCGGAUUUACUGGGCGUAAAGGGCGCGUAGGCGGCAUGACAAGUCACUUGUGAAAUCUCUGGGCUUAACCCAGAACGGCCAAGUGAUACUGUCGCGCUAGAGUGCAGAAGGGGCAAUCGGAAUUCUUGGUGUAGCGGUGAAAUGCGUAGAUAUCAAGAGGAACACCUGAGGUGAAGACGGGUUGCUGGACUGACACUGACGCUGAGGCGCGAAAGCCAGGGGAGCAAACGGGAUUAGAUACCCUGGUAGUCCCUGAGCGGGCUGGCAAGGCGCAU
rnacentral:rRNA from 1 species